rnacentral:rRNA from 1 species
AGAGUUUGAUCCUGGCUCAGGAUGAACGCUGGCGGCGUGCCUAACACAUGCAAGUCGAGCGAUCUUCUUCGGAAGAGAGCGGCGGACGGGUGAGUAACGCGUGGGUAACCUGCCCUGUACACACGGAUAACAUACCGAAAGGUAUGCUAAUACGAGAUGAUAUAUAAAAGUUGCAUGACUUUUAUAUCAAAGCUUUUGCGGUACAGGAUGGACCCGCGUCUGAUUAGCUAGUUGGUAAGGUAACGGCUUACCAAGGCGACGAUCAGUAGCCGACCUGAGAGGGUGAUCGGCCACACUGGAACUGAGACACGGUCCAGACUCCUACGGGAGGCAGCAGUGGGGAAUAUUGCACAAUGGGCGAAAGCCUGAUGCAGCAACGCCGCGUGAGCGAUGAAGGCCUUCGGGUCGUAAAGCUCUGUCCUCAAGGAAGAUAAUGACGGUACUUGAGGAGGAAGCCCCGGCUAACUACGUGCCAGCAGCCGCGGUAAUACGUAGGGGGCUAGCGUUAUCCGGAUUUACUGGGCGUAAAGGGAGCGUAGGCGGAUGAUUAAGUGGGAUGUGAAAUACCCGGGCUCAACUUGGGUGCUGCAUUCCAAACUGGUUAUCUAGAGUGCAGGAGAGGAGAGUGGAAUUCCUAGUGUAGCGGUGAAAUGCGUAGAGAUUAGGAAGAACACCAGUGGCGAAGGCGACUCUCUGGACUGUAACUGACGCUGAGGCUCGAAAGCGUGGGGAGCAAACAGGAUUAGAUACCCUGGUAGUCCACGCCGUAAACGAUGAAUACAGGUUGGGGGUUUCAACACCUCCGUGCCGCCGUUAACGCAUUAAUUAUUCCGCCCUGGGGAGUACGGUCGCAAGAUAAAAACUCAAAGGAAUGGACGGGGACCCGCACAAGUAGCGGAGCAUGUGGUUUAAUUGGAAGCAACGCGAAGACCCUUACCUACCCUUGACUUCCCUGGCAUUACUCUUAAUCGAGGAAAUCCCUUCGGGGACAAGGUGACAGGUGGUGCAUGGUGGUCGUCAGCUCGUGUCGUGAGAUGUCGGGUUAACUCCCGCAACGAGCGCAACCCUUGUCGUUAGUUCCUACCAUUAAGUCGAGGACUCUAGUGAGACUGCCUGGGUUACCCAGGAGGAAGGUGGCGAUGCCGUCAAAUCAUCAUGCCCCUUAUGCGUAGGGCUACACACGUGCUACAAUGGCUGGUACAGAGAGAUGCAAUACCGCGAGGUGGAGCCACACUCAAAAACCAGUCUCAGUUCGGAUUCUAGGCUGAAACUCCCCUACAUGAAGCUGGAGCUACUAGUAAUCGCGAAUCAGAAUGUCGCGGUGA